GCUGGGUGCGGUGACGCCUGCCUGUAAUCCCCAUAGCUCUGGAGGCUGAGGCAGGAGGCUCACAAGUUCAAAGUUAGCCUCAGCAAAAGUGAGGUGCUAAGCAACUCAGUGAGAUCCUGUCUCUA
rnacentral:sRNA from 1 species